rnacentral:rRNA from 1 species
UACGAGGGGGGCGAGCGUUGUUCGGAAUUAUUGGGCGUAAAGGGCGCGUAGGCGGUUUGGUAAGUCUGAUGUGAAAUCUAUGGGCUCAACUCAUAGUCUGCAUCGGAAACUGCCGGGCUUGAGUAUGGGAGAGGUGAGUGGAAUUCCUGGUGUAGCGGUGAAAUGCGUAGAUAUCAGGAGGAACACCUGUGGCGAAAGCGGCUCACUGGACCAUAACUGACGCUGAGGCGCGAAAGCUAGGGGAGCAAACAGG